GGGCACAUGGUGUAGUUGGUUAUCACGCUCGCUUAGCAUUACGGCUUACGUAACAAAUCCUGCGAGAGGUGUUGGGUUCAAUUCCCAAUGUGUCCA